rnacentral:misc_RNA from 1 species
UUUCCCGCAACUCCCCCCA